AGCUGCGUAUAACGUUUCCCGUAUCUCUUAGAUCUAUUGCGGUUCGAACGAGGAACAGGGGCUCCUUCUCUCCCUCGUCCACUUUCCUCCAAUCCAUGGCGACCGCCGCUCUUCCUAAAUCCGGAGGCCUACGAGGACUCGCCUCGUAGGGCUCCAGUCUCUGAAGAGGAGGAGAAAAUUAGGGGGCUUUAUCUCCGAUCCAAAGGAUUCCCAAGUGGAAAAUCCGGUGGAGGGAAUGAAGACCGCGGCUGCGAGGAUCAGAGCUUCCAUUUCUAUGUCAUAUCGAGCAAAGGUGCAGGCUUAAGCAAGUUGGAGAGGCAAACUGGGUGAUCUUAUUAGUGAGAGAAGCAUAUGCAGGUCAUAUCCUAAAUGUGCGCAUGUCCUCUGCAAGCCUCCACCUUGGUGAUCUCUUCUGCAUGUUAACCAGAUCACAUUACAUGUCUGAUGUUUGUAUUCAGUGUCACCAUAACUCCCAAUACAUGAUUUUGUGGUGGUAAAUGUGCAUUUGUUGUCUCACCAGGUAACUCUCCACUGGUACAUUAGUCAGCCAGAAACUCCCAUCUCCUCUUAUAGCCAGGAUAACUUUCAAGUUUUUGUUUGCACUCGAAAGUUGUCUGGCGUACUAUCACUUUAAAAAUAGGUAGUCGAAUCAUUUGAACUUCAAGGCAGGCAUAUAGUCUGCCUAUAGUAUUUAAUAGAUAUGAUGCUAGACGUACAACACAAUGUCCAGCAGACUGUUCGGGUAUGAGUCUCUUAAAAACAAACUAGUUACUUCCUCCAGGAAGUUAUUUUAAUAUUUUGGGUUCGUUAUGUCUGAUUAUACAAAAUCAUUCAGCAAAUUUGUUUGGUGCAGCCAAGUUUUAACUGGUAGCACUACCACCCUGGUGAUCUGUUGUUUCCUCAUGAUGAGAGUUAAUUGAGGCUAUUAAAUCAAUGACUCAUAUAGUGGAAUUGCUCAUCAGCAGUAUCAGUGUUCGGUCAUAUAUUCUUCAUGCUUUGUUGUGCACCUUGUUUUUGGAAGUUCAAAAAUUCCUUUGUUUUGCAAUCAUAAAUGGUUGAAGUUGUUACCUGCCAUUGUUUGUAAUAUGUCAAGUGUCCUCCAUUACUUAGACAUGAGGUUUGGCCUUUUCUUUCGCUCAAAUUCGCAGCAUCUCAGUGUAAGACAGAGAACCUGCUCAGCCUGCAGAAAUAGCCAAUGCCCGGAGGACUCAUCGAAGGUUUGGUGCACCACCCUCCUAUCAUAUGCCUCCUUCACCUGCUCCACAAUAUUCAACUCUGGCAGUCCUGCCAACAGCUGAAGGACUAUGAUCCAAAAAGAAUAGACAUCAGACUCGGGAAUCAGCUGCUCAGUGUUGAGGAAAACAGGGUCCAUGUAUCCAAAUUUUCUCCUUGGGUUUGUCUCAUGGCAGAUUGUUGCUUCCUGUGAUAGGUCCUGAUGUAUCAGCUGAGCAGUACCAAAAUCUCGAAGCUGGAUGAUGUCAUUAGCAUCGAAGAGUAUAUUUCCAAAUUUUAUAUCUACAUGAAUUAUGGCAUCAAGCUUGCUGGAGUGAAGGCAGAUGAGGGCAGAACGCUGCUCAUUGAUGACACAGAAGCAGUCCUGCCAUGAGAGUCCACAGGCAAGCCUUUCGCUGAGGUUACUAUUCUAAAUUCAGAAUCAAUUCAAACGCGACUCAAUCCCGAAUCAAUUCUGAAUAAUAGUGAAUUGGGUUGUUUGUUUGGUUUGGUUCAGCCUGCCUGUUAUGUUUGGUUUCCACCUGCUAUUGAAGAAUUGACUCAUUUCAAUUAUGAGCUAACUUUGGAUCAUAAGAGACCCAAUCCAGAGCCUGAACUGAAGUGCAUGCUCCCAUGAAUGUCCUUCCAAUCUGGAAGAAUAUGGUAGCCUUGCUGCCUCACUUCUGGAACCGAUUCAAAUAUAAACUAGGCAAUGGGAAGAUGCUUGGUUGUCUGACUGUUCUUUGGACUCCCUAUUUCUAAACUUUUAUUCAGCUGGUAAGAAAAGAUGGACCUCAGUGGAAUCGGAUUGGAACAGAAGGUUUGAAUAGAGAAUUCACUCUAGUUUUGUUAGCAGUGAGUCUGAUGCAAAUAAUUGCGGCCGGGAUGAGGGCCAAGGAAACAUGGUGGACCUGGAGGCCACUAAUGAGUUCAAUUUAGAGAUGCUACUGCACUAGGACCUAUGAUCAUUCUAAGAUGUAUAAAUAUGAAUUACCUCAAAAAAAAGAUAUGUGAAUAUGAAAUAAAGUUUUUUAAUCUGGAUCCCUUUUGUUAGAGA